rnacentral:rRNA from 1 species
AUGAACGCUGGCGGCGUGCCUAAUACAUGCAAGUCGAGCGAACGGACGAGAAGCUUGCUUCUCUGAUGUUAGCGGCGGACGGGUGAGUAACACGUGGAUAACCUACCUAUAAGACUGGGAUAACUUCGGGAAACCGGAGCUAAUACCGGAUGAUAUUUUGAACCGCAUGGUUCAAAAGUGAAAGACGGUCUUGCUGUCACUUAUAGAUGGAUCCGCGCUGCAUUAGCUAGUUGGUAAGGUAACGGCUUACCAAGGCAACGAUGCAUAGCCGACCUGAGAGGGUGAUCGGCCACACUGGAACUGAGACACGGUCCAGACUCCUACGGGAGUCAGCAGUAGGGAAUCUUCCGCAAUGGGCGAAAGCCUGACGGAGCAACGCCGCGUGAGUGAUGAAGGUCUUCGGAUCGUAAAACUCUGUUAUUAGGGAAGAGCAUAUGUGUAAGUAACUGUGCACAUCUUGACGGUACCUAAUCAGAAAGCCACGGCUAACUACGUG